UGCAAUACCAAAAUUAAAGUGUGCAUCCGUGUUUCUAUACAAUUUAUUUUUUCAUCUCUCAUGUUUGUUUCUUCAACUUUCAUUGUGUAAUUUCUAACGAUUACACAGAAUUUCCUCCGGCAAAUUUUGCUGAGUCCUUAACAAAUCUAACACAUAUUGUUAAUUUUGUGUUCGUUUCCGGUGGUUUUCGUUAAUAUGUGAUGACUAUCCGAUCUUUAAAACAAAUCUUAUUUGAUUUUCCAUGGAAACAACGUCCACCAAAAUUAAAGUGUGCAUCCCUGUUUCUAUACAAUUUAUUUUUCAUCUCUCAUAUUUAUUUCUUCAACUUUCGUUGUGUAAUUUCUAACGAUUACACAGAAUUUUCUCCAAAUUUUUUUGCUGAGUCCUUAACAAAUCUAACACAUAUUUUUAAUUUUGUGUUCGUUUCCAGUGGUUUUCGUUAAUAUGUGAUGACUAUCCGAUCUUUAAAACAAAUCUUAUUUGAUUUUCCAUGGAAACAACGUCCACCAAAAAAAUGUCAUGGACUCAAAAAGCGGAAGAAGAUCUAAAUAUCGAGAGAAGAAGUCUGAUGUUGUCCAAGGCAUUCAUAAUUUAUAUUUUGAUACAAUAUACUUGGUAUCAAAAUAUUUUACGUAUGAGACUACAACACAUAACAGAAGAUGUAUUCUCUUCGUUGUAUGUGAUAUCCAUACAAUCGUUGAGAAUCGGCCUUGUCAAUUUUUAUUACUUACAGUUGAAUCAAUACAUUGAAUUCUAAACCAAAUAAUUUACAUAUAUAUAUAUAUAUAUCUAAAUUUGAACAAUAUGAAUAUAAUACAACAAAUAAAAUUGGUGUUCAUAAUGCGAUAAAGACUCAAGGAUCGCAAAAACUGUAAUUGGUUAUUUUUCUUAUCAUUUUACUUAUGUAAUUUGUUGCUUUUCAUUAUUAUGUAUGUAUUUGUGAAUCUUUUAAUUAUCUAAUAAAUAAAUUUAAGUUGAAAAGGUCAAG
rnacentral:lncRNA from 1 species